rnacentral:lncRNA from 1 species
GGCUUGCACUGGGAAAUGAAGAUUUCCACGAACCCAGUGACUGAGUGAGCCCCAUUGAUAGGGCCAAAUGGGGUUUGGAUAAACUUACUUUGGAUUGAUAUGUAACUGGCUUGGAAGAGGAUUUCCGUUUCCUUCCUGUCUGUUUCCUCUUCCAGGACCUCUGAGAACUAUGGGAAUUACUAGGAAGAGACGUGUGGUCCUGCCAUCAGGAGAAUAUUCUCCAUGAUCAUGGAAAAUGUGUGUGUAUGUAUGCAAUAGAAUAAGACAAAGCAAAAACUAGAAUGUUGAAGUGGAAUGUGGCAAUCCAGCAGGAGGUAGGGGUCCAUGAGCAGACCUAAGAGUCAGAGACCUACUUAUUCUCACUGUCAGGACUCUCAUAAAAGUAGUAAGCUAAUAACUAUAGUAUACAUUAAGAGGACCUGGUACUGACUCAUGUAGAUCCUGUGCUUGCUUGCUGCUUCAGUCUCUAUUGAUACUCUAAAAAUAUACCCAUUUUACUCUGCAGAACAGAACCCAAGACUUGACUGGACUCAGAUAUGCUUAGCCCCAGAAUCUGGUUCUUCUUAAAGGACCUACCUAGGAGUCAAUGAAUGAAUGCAUAUGAUCCUUGGAGUGAAAUCACAACUAGCUUAUAGAACAGUUCACAGAAACACAGUCACAUAGAAUCUUGGAGAGCACGGGCCUGUGUAUUCUAGCUUUAUGGACUUCUCCAGAAGCAUUCUGAUGGCUGCUGCUAGAAUCCUGAAUUUAGGAAGGAUGUGGUCAGAAGAUGAUGAUUUAUGGUGCUGAAGAUGGAUUCACAAGUUCACAAGUAACGCAGAUGCCAUUGGGAGCAAGAGAGCAUCUCCGGAGAAGGUUCAGCCCAAGGAAAAGAGAAAAAAGUGAGAUCUGCUUUCUCCCAGCCAUAAAUGAGAUUUUGAGAGCAGGAAGCAGGCAAUGACCUGUCGUUCUGAUAAAAAUUCACUCAGGGAGCGGCUUACUGUCAUAUUCCAGUAAGUUUGCCUGGAGGAUGUCUGUGUUUGAACUUAUACGAUGCCUUCAGCCUCCUCUUAGUUAUGUGACAUCUGUGCUCGGGUGGCUUUGCAAGCCAGGAAGUUGCCUCAUCAUUGGAGAACUGGGUUCUGUAUAUGGACAGUCAAGCCUUAGUCAAAAUAGAAAUAAACUCUCUGUUUAUAUACACACU